rnacentral:rRNA from 1 species
AGCCCUAAGUGGGUGGUAAACUCCAUCUAAGGCUAAAUAUGACCACGAGACCGAUAGCGAACAAGUACCGUGAGGGAAAGUUGAAAAGCACUUUGAAGAGAGAGUUCAAGAGUACGUGAAACCGUUUAGGGGUAAACCUGAGAAACCCGAAAGGUCGAAGGGAGAAAUUCAUUCGCGUUUCGCAGCAGGCGUUGAACGGUUGCGUGACGGAAAGCGUUCGCGCGUUUCCGCUCCUUCCGUUUUUCGAACCGGUGGCGAACGCGUGCACUUUUCUCCUGGUAGGACGUCGCGAUCCGUUGGGUGUCGGUCUACGGCUCGCGGUGGAGCCCGUCCGUCGUGUUAACGCACGCACGGGCGGACCCGCGUGUCCCGGCCGACUGGCUCGACGGUAUACGAAAGGUUCAAGGCCGCUCUUGGAGCGUUCGGCUCGUGGCAAGCGCGCCAGAUGCGUCGGCCAUCGGACCCCGUGCCGAUUCUGACCUCUGGUGACUGUUGGCCACGAAGUUCUCGGACAGACCUUAGGACCGACCUGCGACGCUAUAGCUUUGGGUACUUUCAG